CUUUUUGUUUGAAACACAGCGGGAAAGCGUCUAAAUUUUUUUUUUUUUAAAAAUCUGACCCCAGAGUAUGCCAGAUCCGCCACAAAUACAGGGAAUCCACUGUUCACAUGGACAGAGUCUCCCCUGUAUUUGCACGGCGUCGCACAAGUACAAACAGGAUACAACCACAACUAAAUGAAUAUAGAGAUAACUAUACAUUCAUACAUUCACCAUUCACAUCACAGUAUCACAUUCAAUGUUUAAACCAAAAAUCCACAAAAAUCUUUUGAAAACUGUUCCCUACGCAAAAACUUCUAUCUUUUUAAAAAUGCUACCACGAGGGUAGAAAACCUUUUAUUUUACAAAAUCCAGAAAUUCUUGUCUCAUUCGGAAAGCCAACUAAAAUCUUGAAUAUUUUAACAUAAUGAAAUACUGAACCAUAUAGAUGUCUAAGUCAUAUCAA
rnacentral:lncRNA from 1 species